CACGUCAGCGCGCUUUGCUGACAUGGCAACAAAUCGCGCUUCAGAGGACGCGAUUUGUGUCCACAUCAGCAAAUCGUGCUGACGUGG
rfam:Gossypium hirsutum cultivar TM-1 chromosome 14, whole genome shotgun sequence